CGCCUUGGGAGGUGGAACAGAGCGGGGACACUGAGGCCCCCCAGAGGCCUGGCUCUUUCCCAUUCCUCAUUUCCUCCUUGGUGGUCCUGGUGGCAGGACUGACUCCAUAAACGUGUGACCUACACCUGUUUUAAUGCUCUGCAGUCACCAUCUUGAAAUUCUUCAAAUUUUUGAACCAGGGGCUCUGCAUUUUCAUUUUGCCCUGGGUCCUGCAAACUGGGUAGCUGGUCCUGCCUGGUGGCUUACAUCUGGGAGAGAGGCAGCUAUGAGUGAUGAGAGCCAAAUGAACCCUGUCCUCUGGCCAAGCUGGACUCAUGGUUUCUCCUCUGAGCGCAGCAGAAGAUGCAGGCACAGUGGAGCUUUUAUCAGAGUCCUUGUGACUGACAAUGGCUCAUGGCGGGGAAGGCUCUAGGGGCCAGCUGGUGGCUCUCCCACCCACCCCUGGCACAGGCUUACCCAGCUUCUUUGUGAAUUCUGUCAGGGACAAGAAAGGAUCCAUUUCAUUGUUGAAUCUAACUGUAACUGUCCCUCAUUCUUGUGGAGUGUUUGACGUUCUCUGAACCUUUUCAUAAGGAUUAUCUCACUGCGUUGUCACCAACCCUCUGUGCGACAGGCAUUUUCUAAGGAGUAGAAAUUGAGGAAACGAGAACUUCCAGAUUGGCAGCCCUCGCUGCCUCCACUCAGCCUCCCCCUUCCUUCGCUCAGGGAUUGAAAUCUGAUGUCAUCCAGGAAGUCCUUCAGCCGAUCAUAGGAGAAGGAAGAGCACCUUAAUUCUUUGUACUAAAUUAUUUUUCCCCUGGGCUGUAGGUAAUUUAACACCUUCUUUUCAUAUGUGCUUCAUUUUGAAUCACCGUCACAAGAAGGGCAUGAACUAAACAGCCUUUGGAUGGAUCGAAUCUGGUUUUAAAUGUGUCCAACUUCUGUUUAAAGAUGGAUGAAGCAGAAUCACAGAAUCUCCCUCCCCUAGUGCCCAAAGGAAUAAUGCAGAAAUUCAAAAAUGAAACAGAAACACAACCACCUCAAAUGAAUCAAUCACACAAGAACAUUCACUUUAAAAAGUGCCAAAGGAAGCUUCUAGAACCAUGGAACCAUGCCAAAUGGAAGCUUCUAGAACCACGUGGCUUUGUUCCACCCCUGAUUGUGGAACUAUGUCCAUCGAGAUAAUCCUGAGCACUUCACCGAUGCCUUCCCAUCCAGAGUGCAGCCACUUGAGGGAAUGGAACCGAGGGCAAGGAACCGAGGACCUGAGUGGGCAGGAAGGGCUAUCCUUGGCUCGCCGUCUUCCUGGUCCCUACUUCCUUCCUUGUCCCUCAAAUGUCCAUCAGCUGAUCCUGACACAGUCUUAAGUAAUUGGUGAAAAACUGAAGAUAAGACCCUUGUCAGGAAGUUUUGCAUCAAAAAUGAAACACAGGAAUGAAGAUGCAGCAAUUCAUAAUUUGAGGAGGCAUCCCAGCUCCAUGAUUUCUCAAAGACACCGUGAAGACACAGCUGCUAUCAUUACAAGGAUGGCCCAGUGUUCUCUUGCCCACGGAGAGCAGACUGUUGGAACAUUUACCAGUAUACAACCAGUAUACCAGUAUCUCCACCAUACCAUGGGGGAGAAUGGGGAAGGAGCAGAGGAAAGAGAAACCAAAGAAGGAAGCACAGUGUUUUUUCAUUUGGUUUUUCUGUUUGCCCUCAGCAUCCAACCGCCAUGGUGUGCUCUGAGUACAUGUCCACAGAAGCUCAUGCCAAAAUAUCUCCAGAAACACACAAACACCCCAUCCCCACCACUAAGAAGUAAAAGCACUUUAC